AAUUGUGCAAGUUCUCCCACUUAAAAAGAUGAGAGGCCUGUAAUUUUCAUCAUAGGUACACUUCAACUAUGACAGACAAAAUCAGAAAAACAAAUCCAGAAAAUCACAUUGUAGGAUUUUUAAUGAAUUUAUUUGCAAAUUAUGGUGGAAAAUAAGUAUUUGGUCAAUAACAAAGGUUUAUCUCAAUACUUUGUUAUAUACCUUUUGUUGGCAAUGACAGAGGUCAAACGUUUUCUGUAAGUCUUCACAAGGUUUUCACACACUGUUGCUGGUAUUUUGGCCCAUUCCUCCAUGCAGAUCUCCUGUAGAGCAGUGAUGUUUUGGGGCUGUUGCUGGGCAACACGGACUUUCAAUUCCCUCCAAAGAUUUUCUAUGGGGUUGAGAUCUGGAGACUGGCUAGGCCACUCCAGGACCUUGAAAUGCUUCUUACGAAGCCACUCCUUCGUUGCCCCGGCGGUGUGUUUGGGAUCAUUGUCAUGCUGAAAGACCCAGCCACGUUUCAUCUUCAAUGCCCUUGCUGAUGGAAGGAGGUUUUCACUCAAAAUACAUGGCCCCAUUCAUUCUUUCCUUUCCACAGAUCAGUCGUCCUGGUCCCUUUGCAGAAAAACAGCCCCAAAUCAUGAUGUUUCCACCCCCAUGCUUCACAGUAGGUAUGGUGUUCUUUGGAUGCAACUCAGCAUUCUUUGUCCUCCAAACACGACGAGUUGAGUUUUUACCUAAAAGUUCAAUUUUGGUUUCAUCUGACCAUAUGACAUUCUCUCAAUCUUCUCCAAUCUUCUUCUGGAUCAUCCAAAUGCUCUCUAGCAAACUUUAGACGGGCCUGGACAUGUACUGGCUUACGCAGGGGGACACGUCUGGCACUGCAGGAUUUCAGUCCCUGGCGGCGUAGUGUGUUACUGAUGGUAGGCUUUGUUACUUUGGUCCCAGCUCUCUACAGGUCAUUCACUAGGUCCCCCCGUGUGGUUUUGGGAUUUUUGCUCAUCAUUUUGACCCCACGGAGUGAGAUCUUGCGUGGAGCCCCAGAUCGAGGGAGAUUAUCAGUGGUCUUGUAUGUCUUCCAUUUCCUAAUAAUUGAUCCCACAGUUGAUUUCUUCAAACCAAGCUGCUUACCUAUUGCAGAUUCAGUCUUCCCAGCCUGGUGCAGGUCUACAACUUUGUUUCUGGUGUCCUUUGACAGCUCUUUGGUCUUGGCCAUAGUGGAGUUUGGAGUGUUUGAGGUUGUGGACAGGUGUCUUUUAUACUGAUAACAAGUUCAAACAGUUGCCAUUAAUACAGGUAACGAGUGGAGGACAGAGGAGCCUCUUAAAGAAGAAGUUACAGGUCUGUGAGAGCCAGAAAUCUUGCUUGUUUGUAGGUGACCAAAUACUUAUUUUCCACCAUAAUUUGCAAAUAAAUUAAUUAAAAACCCUACAAUGUGAUUUUCUGGGUUUUUUCCCUCACUUUGUCUGUCAUAGUUGAAGUGUACCUAUGAUGAAAAUUACAGGCCUCUCAUCUUUUUAAGUGGGAGAACUUGCACAAUUGGUGGCUGACUAAGUACUUUUUUGCCCCACUGUACAUUAGUCAGUGGAUGGAUGGAUGAAUGGAGUGAGGUUGGGGUUGGUUAGUUGGUGGAUGAAUGGAGUGAGGUUGGGGUCGGUAAGUUGGUAGAUGAAUGGAGUGAAGUAGGGGUUGGUUAGUUGGUAGAUGAAUGGAGUGAGGUGGGGGUUGGUUAGUUGGUGGAUGAAUGGAGUGAGGUAGGGGUUGGUUAGUUGGUGGAUGAAUGGAGUGAGGUAGGGGUUGGUUAGUUGGUAGAUGAAUGGAGUGAGGUAGGGGUUGGUUAGUUGGUGGAUGAAUGGAGUGAGGUGGGGGUUGGUUAGUUGGUAGAUUAAUGGAGUGAGGUAGGGGUUGGUUAGUUGGUGGAUGAAUGGAGUGAGGUAGGGGUUGGUUAGUUGGUGGAUGAAUGGAGUGAGGUAGGGGUUGGUUAGUUGGUGGAUGAAGGGAGUGAGGUGGGGGUUGGUUAGUUGGUGGAUGAAGGGAGUGAGGUAGGGGUUGGUUAGUUGGUGGAUGAAUGGAGUGAGGUAGGGGUUGGUUAGUUGGUGGAUGAAGGGAGUGAGGUUGGGGUUGGUUAGUUGGUAGAUGAAUGGAGUGAGGUAGGGGUUGGUUAGUUGGUGGAUGAAUGGAGUGAGGUUGGGGUCGGUAAGUUGGUAGAUGAAUGGAGUGAAGUAGGGGUUGGUUAGUUGGUAGAUGAAUGGAGUGAGGUGGGGGUUGGUUAGUUGGUGGAUGAAUGGAGUGAGGUAGGGGUUGGUUAGUUGGUGGAUGAAUGGAGUGAGGUAGGGGUUGGUUAGUUGGUGGAUGAAGGGAGUGAGGUGGGGGUUGGUUAGUUGGUGGAUGAAUGGAGUGAGGUUGGGGUUGGUUAGUUGGUAGAUGAAUGGAGUGAGGUGGGGGUUGGUUAGUUGGUGGAUGAAGGGAGUGAGGUGGGGGUUGGUUAGUUGGUGGAUGAAGGGAGUGAGGUAGGGGUUGGUUAGUUGGUGGAUGAAUGGAGUGAGGUGGGGGUUGGUUAGUUGGUAGAUUAAUGGAGUGAGGUAGGGGUUGGUUAGUUGGUGGAUGAAUGGAGUGAGGUAGGGGUUGGUUAGUUGGUGGAUGAAUGGAGUGAGGUUGGGGUCGGUAAGUUGGUAGAUGAAUGGAGUGAGGUAGGGGUUGGUUAGUUGGUGGAUGAAUGGAGUGAAGUAGGGGUUGGUUAGUUGGUGGAUGAAUGGAGUGAGGUUGGGGUUGGUUAGUUGGUAGAUGAAUGGAGUGAGGUAGGGGUUGGUUAGUUGGUGGAUGAAUGGAGUGAGGUGGGGGUUGGUUAGUUGGUAGAUGAAUGGAGUGAGGUAGGGGUUGGUUAGUUGGUGGAUGAAUGGAGUGAGGUAGGGGUUGGUUAGUUGGUGGAUGAAUGGAGUGAGGUUGGGGUCGGUAAGUUGGUAGAUGAAUGGAGUGAAGUAGGGGUUGGUUAGUUGGUAGAUGAAGGGAGUGAGGUGGGGGUUGGUUAGUUGGUAGAUGAAUGGAGUGAGGUUGGGGUCGGUAAGUUGGUAGAUGAAUGGAGUGAAGUAGGGGUUGGUUAGUUGGUAGAUGAAUGGAGUGAGGUGGGGGUUGGUUACUUGGUGGAUGAAUGGAGUGAGGUAGGGGUUGGUUAGUUGGUGGAUGAAUGGAGUGAGGUAGGGGUUGGUUAG